rnacentral:rRNA from 1 species
AAUUUUGGACAAUGGGGGAAACCCUGAUCCAGCCAUCCCGCGUGUAGUAUGAAGGCCUUCGGGUUGUAAAGUACUUUUGGCAGAGAAGAAAAGGUAUCUCCUAAUCCGACAUACUGCUGACGGUAUCUGCAGUAUCAGCACCGGCUAACUACCGUCCAGGAGCAGCGGUAAUACGUAGGGUGCAAGCUGUAAUCGGAAUUACUGGGCGUAAAGCGUGUGUAGGCGGUUCGGAAAGAAAGAUGUGAAAUCACAGGGCUCAACCAUGGAACUGCAUUUUUAACUGCCGAGCUAGAGUAUGUCAGAGGGGGGUAGAAGUCCACGUGUAGCAGUGAAAUGAGUAGAUAUGUGGAGGAAUACCGAUGGCGAAGGCAGCCCCCUGGGAUAAUACUGACGCUCAGACACGAAAGCGUGGGGAGCAAAC